rnacentral:rRNA from 1 species
GCCUACGGGGCGCAGCAGUGGGGAAUAUUGCACAAUGGGCGAAAGCCUGAUGCAGCAACGCCGCGUGAAGGAAGACGGUUUUCGGAUUGUAAACUUCUGUUCUUAGUGAAGAAUAAUGACGGUAACUAAGGAGCAAGCCACGGCUAACUACGUGCCAGCAGCCGCGGUAAUACGUAGGGGGCAAGCGUUAUCCGGAUUUACUGGGUGUAAAGGGAGCGUAGACGGCAGGGCAAGUCUGGAGUGAAAGCCCGGGGCCCAACCCCGGGACUGCUUUGGAAACUGCCAUGCUAGAGUGCUGGAGAGGG